GAAAUGCGAUAAGUAAUGUGAAUUGCAGAAUUCAGUGAAUCAUCGAAUCUUUGAACGCACCUUGCGCUCCUUGGUAUUCCUUGGAGCAUGCCUGUUUGAGUAUCAUGAGAUCUUCAAAGUAAAUCUUUUGUUAACUCAAUUGGUUUCUACUUUGGUAUUGGAGGUCUUUGCAGCUUCACACCUGCUCCUCUUUGUUCAUUAGCUGGAUCUCAGUGUUAUGCUUGGUUCCACUCGGCGUGAUAAGUUAUCUAUCGCUGAGGACACUGUAAAAGGUGGCCAAGGUAAAUGCAGAUGAACCGCUUCUAAUAGUCCAUUGACUUGGACAAUACUUUUAUGAUCUGAUCUCAAAUCAGGUAGGACUACCCGCUGAACUUAAGC
rnacentral:misc_RNA from 1 species